GACGAACGCUGGCGGCGUGCCUAACACAUGCAAGUCGAGCGAGAGACUUCGGUCUCUAGCGGCGGACGGGUGAGUAACACGUGGGUAACCUGCCUCAUAGAGGGGGAUAGCCUCCCGAAAGGGAGAUUAAUACCGCAUAAUAUGGAUUAAUCGCAUGAUUGAUUCAUUAAAGGAGUAAUCCGCGAUGAGAUGGACCCGCGGCGCAUUAGCUAGUUGGAGAGGUAAAGGCUCACCAAGGCGACGAUGCGUAGCCGACCUGAGAGGGUGAUCGGCCACAUUGGAACUGAGACACGGUCCAGACUCCUACGGGAGGCAGCAGUGGGGAAUAUUGCACAAUGGGGGAAACCCUGAUGCAGCAACGCCGCGUGAGUGAUGAAGGCCUUCGGGUUGUAAAGCUCUGCCAUUGGGGACGAUAAUGACGGUACCCAAUGAGGAAGCCACGGCUAACUACGUGCCAGCAGCCGCUGUAAGAC
rnacentral:rRNA from 1 species